rnacentral:sRNA from 1 species
UGCCCCUCCCUCAUCUCCCCUCCAGCAGCCCUCUCUUUUUCUGCCCACCUCUCUCCCUUAGCAACAUCCCAGGAGACAGCCAGACUAGCGUCUGCAUCACCAUCGAGCCAGGACUGCUCUUGAAGGGAGACAUCUUGCUGAAGUGCUACCACAAGAAGUUCCGAAGCCCAGCCCGAGACGUCAUCUUCCGUGUGCAGUUCCACACCUGUGCCAUCCAUGACCUGGGGGUUGUCUUUGGGAAGGAGGACCUUGAUGAUGCUUUCAAAGAUGAUCGAUUUCCAGAGUAUGGCAAAGUGGAGUUUGUAUUUUCUUAUGGGCCAGAGAAAAUUCAAGGUAUAAGCCAAGUUAGAAUUCAUUCCCUCACUCCUUCGUUUUAUCCUGACCCUAUCCCCAGCACCCUUCCACCCCUGGUCUGUUCCACAGUGAUCAAGUUAUUUUUGAGAGGCAGGCCAUCAGUAAAGGAUCUGGGUUUCAGAGUGGACCCCUAGCUAAACAUGAACCAGUGACUUAAUCUCUGGAUAAUAAAAAUAAAAAAGCAGACAGAGAGGCACUGGGUUGGAUAAACUGUUCUGGUCCCAUUAGGUCAUCAGCCUGUUAUAUUCAGAGACCAAGGUCCUUGGUAGAUGGAGGGAGUGGCUGGCGGGCAGGGGGCACACAAAGGUGCUGGAUAGAUGAUGCGUAUUUAUGAGAACUGAGGUGAUUCAACCUGAAGGCUGGUUUAAUAAUAACCUUGAAGCCUCUAGACUGGUUAUAAGUGGAGACCAGUUGUUCACCAUCUUAUUCGAGAAUGGAAUGAAAGGAGAUGAAGUUAGGUUAUGGGCAGAGGGACUCUGGAUAGACUAAAGAAAGGACUGCCAAGCCAGGAAGGUAACUCACCCUGACAGACUUGACUAGGAGCUAUGCUGUCUUUGAGCCAGGUUUUUAAAAAUUUAUUUAUUUAUUUUUAUUUGACCUUAAGUUCUGGGAUACAUGUGCUGAAUGUGCAGAUUUGUUACGUAGGCAUAUAUGUGCCAUGGUGGUUUGCUGCACCUGUCAACCCAUCAUCUACUUUUAAGCUCUGCAUGCAUUAGGUGUUUGUCCCAGUGCUAAGCUGGGUUUUCUGUGGAUGGCUAGGAGAUUCUGCCGUGCCCCCUAGGUUUCUGUCUGGAGUGGAGAGCAUUUUAAGAGGGGGCAGGGCCAUGCCUGGGAUGACCCUUUGGAGGCUUUAUGUCCUUUCAAUGUCGGGGCUGUGAUUUCCCUGCUGUCCCUGAUCCCACGUAGCUCAUAAGCAGCCUGCCCCCCACCCCCAGGGUCUGACUCUAGGGGCAGACUUUCUAGUCUCUUGGCACUGCCUCAGGAGCCCCAGGGACACAGAAGAAAAAGAGGCAGACACCCAGCCAGGGGUCCUCCCCGCUUUCUUCCAGGGGGUCUUCAUUCUUCAGUGCCUGUCCUGAUUUACCCCUAUGACCUGGCAUGAGCCUUUUCAAGAAUGUAAGAAACUAGACUCCCAGUUCUCAGUCCAGCUUAAGCCACUGGUCCCGCCCACCACGCUCAAGAAAACGAGAAGUCCCUCAGGGAGCCUCUUUUGGGGAGCUUGUGGGCUUUCUCUGUUUUUCCAGCUGCUGAUCUCUUUUCCCUCUCUGCACUGUCUCCCCGACUGCCCCUGCCUUUCCCAUCCCACUUAGGCAUGGAGCACCUGGAGAACGGGCCGAGCGUGUCUGUGGACUAUAACACCUCCGACCCCCUCAUCCGCUGGGACUCCUACGACAACUUCAGUGGGCAUCGAGAUGACGGCAUGGAGGAGGUGGUGGGACACACGCAGGGGCCACUAGAUGGGAGCCUGUAUGCUAAGGUGAAGAAGAAAGACUCCCUGCACGGCAGCACCGGGGCUGUUAAUGCCACACGUCCUACACUGUCGGCCACCCCCAACCACGUGGAACACACGCUUUCUGUGAGCAGCGACUCGGGCAACUCCACAGCCUCCACCAAGACCGACAAGACCGACGAGCCUGUCCCCGGGGCCUCCAGUGCCACUGCUGCCUUGAGUCCCCAGGAGAAGCGGGAGCUGGACCGCCUGCUGAGUGGCUUUGGCUUAGAGCGAGAGAAGCAAGGCGCCAUGUACCACACCCAGCACCUCAGGUCCCGCCCAGCAGGGGGCUCGGCUGUGCCCUCCUCUGGACGCCACGUUGUCCCAGCCCAGGUUCAUGUCAAUGGUGGGGCGUUAGCAUCUGAGCGGGAGACAGACAUCCUGGACGAUGAAUUGCCAAACCAGGAUGGUCACAGUGCGGGCAGCAUGGGCACACUCUCUUCUCUGGACGGGGUCACCAACACCAGUGAGGGGGGCUACCCAGAGGCCCUGUCCCCACUGACCAAUGGUCUGGAUAAGUCCUACCCCAUGGAGCCUAUGGUCAAUGGAGGAGGCUACCCCUACGAGUCUGCCAGCCGGGCGGGGCCUGCCCAUGCUGGCCACACGGCCCCCAUGCGGCCCUCCUACUCUGCACAGGAGGGUUUAGCUGGCUACCAGAGGGAGGGGC